UGCGCGGUGGUAGCAGUUGGUAGCUUCGCGGCCUCAUAAGCCGAGGGUCGCCGGUUCGAGUCCGGCCCGCGCAAC
rnacentral:tRNA from 2 species